rnacentral:rRNA from 1 species
CAGUCGCCGCGGUAAAACGAAGGGGGCUAGCGUUGCUCGGAAUGACUGGGCGUAAAGGGCGCGUAGGCGGCGGCCAAAGUCAGGCGUGAAAUUCCUGGGCUCAACCCUGGACAGGCGGUGGAAACUACCAAGCUAGAGUACGGUAGGGGCAGAGGGAAUUUCCGGUGGAGCGGUGAAAUGCGUUGAGAUCGAAAAGAACACCAACGACGAAAGCACUCUGCUGGGUCGACACUGACACUGAGAGACGAAAGCUAGGGGAGAAAAUGGGAUUAGAUACCCCAGUAGUCCCUGUCUCUUAUAC